GUUGUAGACCCGAAACCGUGUGAGCUAGCCAUGAGCAGGCUGAAGGUCAGGUAACACUGACUGGAGGGCCGAACCAGGGCACGUUGAAAAGUGCUUGGAUGACUUGUGGCUAGGGGUGAAAUUCCAAUCGAACACGGAUAUAGCUGGUUCUCUCCGAAAUAGCUUUAGGGCUAGCCUCGAUGUUAAGUCUACUGGAGGUAGAGCACUGAAUGGGUGAUGGCCCCACCUCGGGGUACUGAUCUCAAUCAAACUCCG
rnacentral:rRNA from 1 species